UACCAGCACCCCGAGUGGUCGGGACGUUUAUUGGGCCUAAAGCAUCCGUAGCCGGUUCUACAAGUCUUCCGUUAAAUCCAACUGCUUAACAGAUGGGCUGCGGAGGACACUAUAAGACUAGGAGGCAGGAGAGGCAAGCGGUACUCAGUGGGUAGGGGUAAAAUCCGUUGAUCCAUUGAAGACCACCAGUGGCGAAGGCGGCUUGCCAGAAUGCGCUCGACGGUGAGGGAUGAAAGCUGGGGGAGCAAACCGG
rnacentral:rRNA from 1 species